GUGCCAGCAGCUGCGGUAAUACGGAGGGUGCAAGCGCUAUCCGGAUUUAUUGGGUUUAAAGGGUCCGUAGGCUGAUUUGUAAGUCAGUGGUGAAAUCUCACAGCUUAACUGUGAAACUGCCAUUGAUACUGCAAGUCUUGAGUGUUGUUGAAGUAGCUGGAAUAAGUAGUGUAGCGGUGAAAAUGCAUAGAUAUUACUUAGAACACCAAUUGCGAAGGCAGGUUAC
rnacentral:rRNA from 1 species